ACGAACGCUGGCGGCGUGCUUAACACAUGCAAGUCGAACGGGAUUUAGUAGACAGAAGCCUCGGUGGAAGAUUACUAAUGAGAGUGGCGAACGGGUGAGUAACGCGUGAGCAACCUGCCUAUGACAGUGGGAUAGCCUCGGGAAACCGGGAUUAAUACCGCAUAAAAUCGUAGAAACACAUGUUUCAACGGUCAAAGAUUUAUCGGUCAUAGAUGGGCUCGCGUCUGAUUAGCUAGUUGGUGAGAUAACAGCCCACCAAGGCGACGAUCAGUAGCCG
rnacentral:rRNA from 1 species